rnacentral:snoRNA from 1 species
AUUGCACAACUUAAGUUUGUCGAGGAUCAAUUUUUUGAACUGAAUCUUGCUCUUUUCAAGUGCUUGAAACCCUCGAUGAAUGUGUCAAUGUGCAAAGAUAAACUAUUCUCUUUUGACCAGUGAUUUGAUAUUUGCCUUGGAGAAUAAUAUUUUCCCUUUCCUGUAAUUAACUUUUGUUCUAAAGGUUAUUUGGAGAGAAUAGGCAUGAUUGAAGUUGCGACUUUUUUUUGUUUUUUGCUUUUGCAUGGUACUUGAUCCAUGCACUUCUCAUUUUAUUGGACUUUCAAGAUUGGUUUCCCUCGUGUUUUAAUUUUUGUUAAAUUUUUCCCUCUACUUUUAAUAUGUCCUAUAUUAAUACCGGUUAUGUUGUACGUGUUUCAUUGCUGAUCUUUUACUAGACUCGUCUGAGUUCUUCGUUCAAGUUUGGUUGAUUUCGGCUUGAGGUACAUGACAUGGUCGGCAUGUGGAGGAAAUGAUGGAAAGUUACAUGGAUUUUGGGAGAUCAUAGAAGAGAAAAUAUUUGAGACAGUUUUGUACGAAAAGAAGCUAUAAACAUGACUCAG